ACGAACGCUGCGGCAGGCUAACACAUGCAGUCGAGCGCGCCUUCGGGUGAGCGGCGGACGGGUUAGUAACGCGUGGGAACGUGCCCUUCUCUACGGAAUAGCCUCUGGAAACGGAGAGUAAUACCGUAUACGCCCUUUGGGGGAAAGAUUUAUCGGAGAAGGAUCGGCCCGCGUUAGAUUAGGUAGUUGGUGGGGUAACGGCCUACCAAGCCUACGAUCUAUAGCUGGUUUUAGAGGAUGAUCAGCAACACUGGGACUGAGACACGGCCCAGACUCCUACGGGAGGCAGCAGUGGGGAAUCUUAGACAAUGGGGGCAACCCUGAUCUAGCCAUGCCGCGUGAGUGAUGAAGGCCUUAGGGUCGUAAAGCUCUUUCGCCUGUGAUGAUAAUGACAGUAGCAGGUAAAGAAACCCCGGCUAACUCCGUGCCAGCAGACGCGGUAAUACGGAGGGGGUUAGCGUUGUUCGGAAUUACUGGGCGUAAAGCGCGCGUAGGCGGAUUAGAAAGUUGGGGGUGAAAUCCCGGGGCUCCAACCCGGAACUGGCUUCCAAACUGCUAGUCUAGAGUUCGAGAGAAGUGAGUGGAAUUCCGAGUGUAGAGGUGAAAUUCGUAGAUUUCGGAGGGAAACCAUGGCGAAUGCGGUCAACGGGUCGAUAUGAGCUGAAGGCGAAAGUUGUGGAGCAACGGAUUUAUUCCCCGGUAAUCACAACGUAAACAUUGAUGCCAGACGCGGAAAUUAUAUUCGGGGCAAACUAACUAUUAGCUUCGCUGGGAGUAGGCGCA
rnacentral:rRNA from 1 species